CCAGACUCCUACGGGAGGCAGCAGUGGGGGAUAUUGGACAAUGGGGGGAACCCUGAUCCAGCGACGCCGCGUGAGUGAAGAAGUAUCUCGGUAUGUAAAGCUCUAUCAGCAGGGAAGAAAGAAAUGACGGUACCUGAGUAAGAAGCCCCGGCUAACUACGUGCCAGCAGCCGCGGUAAUACGUAGGGGGCAAGCGUUAUCCGGAUUUACUGGGUGUAAAGGGAGCGUAGACGGCAUGGCAAGUCUGGUGUGAAAGGCAGGGGCUCAACCCCUGGACUGCAUUGGAAACUGUCAGGCUGGAGUGCAGGAGAGGUAAGUGGAAUUCCUAGUGUAGCGGUGAAAUGCGUAGAUAUUAGGAGGAACACCAGUGGCGAAGGCGACUUACUGGACUGUAACUGACGUUGAGGCUCGAAAGCGUGGGGAGCAAACAGGAUUAGAUACCCGUGUA
rnacentral:rRNA from 1 species